AGAUCUUUGAAGGAGGUCUUUGUCCGGCAGUGGAUAUCUUCCGGCUGAUAAUGAUGAUACUUAUCUGAUGACACUUCCUUGAUCUAUAAUGUUAAACAUAGACAAGCAUCCUGUUGAGUCUCAGGGGGCGCAACGGGUGACUAAACGAGGCAGGCGCACGUGGCUGUUCUGCGCUGGUGACCGGAAUGUUUCCCGAACCAAUCUGCAAUAUAAUAUGCUGAAUUUC